rnacentral:rRNA from 1 species
UACGUAGGGCGCAAGCGUUGUCCGGAAUUAUUGGGCGUAAAGAGCUCGUAGGCGGUUUGUCGCGUCGGAUGUGAAGCCGGGCUUAACCCGGUCUGCAUUCGAUACGGGCAGACGUGGAGUGUGGUAGGGAGGAUCGGAAUUCCUGGUGUAGCGGUGAAAUGCGCAGAUAUCAGGAGGAACACCGGUGGCGAAGGCGGAUCUCUGGGCCAUUACUGACGCUGAGGAGCGAAAGCGUGGGAGCGAUCGG